GACGAACGCUGGCGGCGUGCUUAACACAUGCAAGUCGAACGGAAAGGCCCUGCUUUUGUGGGGUGCUCGAGUGGCGAACGGGUGAGUAACACGUGAGUAACCUGCCCUUGACUUUGGGAUAACUUCAGGAAACUGGGGCUAAUACCGGAUAGGAGCUCCUGCUGCAUGGUGGGGGUUGGAAAGUUUCGGCGGUUGGGGAUGGACUCGCGGCUUAUCAGCUUGUUGGUGGGGUAGUGGCUUACCAAGGCUUUGACGGGUAGCCGGCCUGAGAGGGUGACCGGCCACAUUGGGACUGAGAUACGGCCCAGACUCCUACGGGAGGCAGCAGUGGGGAAUAUUGCACAAUGGGCGGAAGCCUGAUGCAGCAACGCCGCGUGCGGGAUGACGGCCUUCGGGUUGUAAACCGCUUUCGCCUGUGACGAAGCGUGAGUGACGGUAAUGGGUAAAGAAGCACCGGCUAACUACGUGCCAGCAGCCGCGGUGAUACGUAGGGUGCGAGCGUUGUCCGGAUUUAUUGGGCGUAAAGGGCUCGUAGGUGGUUGAUCGCGUCGGAAGUGUAAUCUUGGGGCUUAACCCUGAGCGUGCUUUCGAUACGGGUUGACUUGAGGAAGGUAGGGGAGAAUGGAAUUCCUGGUGGAGCGGUGGAAUGCGCAGAUAUCAGGAGGAACACCAGUGGCGAAGGCGGUUCUCUGGGCCUUUCCUGACGCUGAGGAGCGAAAGCGUGGGGAGCGAACAGGCUUAGAUACCCUGGUAGUCCACGCUGUAAACGGUGGGUACUAGGUGUGGGGUCCAUUCCACGGGUUCCGUGCCGUAGCUAACGCUUUAAGUACCCCGCCUGGGGAGUACGGCCGCAAGGCUAAAACUCAAAGGAAUUGACGGGGCCCCGCACAAGCGGCGGAGCAUGCGGAUUAAUUCGAUGCAACGCGUAGAACCUUACCUGGGUUUGACAUAGAUCGGGAGUGCUCAGAGAUGGGUGUGCCUCUUUUGGGGUCGGUUCACAGGUGGUGCAUGGCUGUCGUCAGCUCGCGUCGUGAGAUGUUGGGUUAAGUCCCGCAACGAGCGCAACCCUUGUUCACUGUUGCCAGCACGUUAUGGUGGGGACUCAGUGGAGACCGCCGGGGUCAACUCGGAGGAAGGUGGGGAUGACGUCAAGUCAUCAUGCCCCUUAUGUCCAGGGCUUCACGCAUGCUACAAUGGCUGGUACAGAGAGUGGCGAGCCUGUGAGGGUGAGCGAAUCUCGGAAAGCCGGUCUCAGUUCGGAUUGGGGUCUGCAACUCGACCUCAUGAAGUCGGAGUCGCUAGUAAUCGCAGAUCAGCAACGCUGCGGUGAAUACGUUCCCGGG
rnacentral:rRNA from 1 species